rnacentral:snRNA from 1 species
UCACCAUCUUUCGGCUGAG